rnacentral:lncRNA from 1 species
GGAUUUAAAAGGGAGCAUUUCAAAUAAUCUAGUCGUUGAAUACGGAAUUACCCGUUUUUGGGAUUAUAUUUGAUUAGAGAUAAAAAGGUAUGUCGAAAGUGAUUUCUCAUUUCCCAAAACAAGAUAUGGAAUUCCAUCAUUGCUCAUUUUAUGACACGAAACUCGAAGCUACACGUUUGAGGGCUGAAACGCCUCCAACUCUUCCAGUAGUCGGACUACUGCAAAACAAUAAAAACCCAAUCAAUACAUAUUUCAGCUUGCUUUGAAAGGGUUUAUGCAUAAUUAGGGGCAAUUGUGGGACCAUGAAUUUCUAGGGCUGGGGAAAGGCUGAUUGGAAUAACGUUACCUCAGAAGUCCAGUCAUGGACUCGGCAACUCCGAGCAGAGUUGUAUCAAACGGAGCAGUGGUUCCACCGUCACCCUGGUUCGAGGCAAUAAGAGAAGUUUGACCAACUCUGCCAUAAUGACCAUACUUGUUUAGCAAGGCAUGUGAUCUGAUUGGGAUAUGGACACAAUCAGCUUGCUCACAGUUGUUUCUUGUAGGUUACUUGAGUUCGUGCCUCUUCAAUUCAUGGUGGCACACGAAUUAAGCUCCAACAUUUCUCUAUGAAUUUUUAAAGUAAUUUUAUAGACAAAUACUUCUCAUGUGCUUCUUUAUAGAUUUUAAGUAAUUUUAUGAAAAACACUUUCUCAUGUGCUUUAUAAGAGAAGUGAUUCUGAACGUGCCCAGUAAACAUCUUUGAAUAAUGAAUGUAAAAGUACAUAAUUUGGAUAAUUGAAGUAUAUAAAAAAAAAAUUAGUGAUUGGGAUGACUGAUAAAUGGGUUUGGGCUGGCCUCGGCUCUUAUAUAUAUCACCAUCUCAAAAAGGAAUUCACCUCUGCAUCCAAUUUGACACACAUUUAGCAAUUAUACACCUCCAUGUGAUAAUUCUUUACAUUCUUCUGAACACAUACCUGAGGCUGAAGCUCAUUAGUUGGCUAUUAU